AUGUCAUUCUCGGUCUCUUGGAUAAGAUUAAGUGUAGUAUCUGUUAUUAUCAGUUUAAUAUCUGAUACCAUCACAGUGGCUUGCUACUGGGGCUCUUU
rfam:Glycine soja cultivar W05 scaffold2015_39, whole genome shotgun sequence.